rnacentral:misc_RNA from 1 species
UCCGGUUUGUCACCGGCAGUCCCAUUAGAGUGCCCAACUGAAUGUAGCAACUAAUGGCAAGGGUUGCGCUCGUUGCGGGACUUAACCCAACAUCUCACGACACGAGCUGACGACAGCCAUGCAGCACCUGUGUUCAGGUUCCCUUUCGGGCACCAGGGCAUCUCUGCCCCGUCCCUGACAUGUCAAGGGUAGGUAAGGUGGGGAUGACGUUCCUGUACCAUAGA